GGAAAGGAAGCGUAGUGCCGCUGUUUUGAAGGAGCUUGAGCUCAAAACACAGUGUUGGCUGAUGCCGAGAUGCAGGUUUUCUCAUCAAAACCGAAACAAACUCUUUAAAGCAAUGAAACACAACACUGAGGUGUCGUGUGCGUUCUGAGAUUGUGUCAGUACAGUUGAGGUUGACUUAUGAGCUGUUUAGAGAGAAUCUCAAUUGGGACUAAGUUCAGGCCUCAUACCACUGAGCUUGCUAUCAUUUGAUAGAAAUAGCUCGUAUUCGAAAAUAUUUGCAUCUGUAUGCAUCUCCUUUUUACUUGUAUUUGAGAAUGUCUAACUCCAUUUGCGGUGAAUUUUACUAACCCCUCCCUUCUAUCUCUUUUUGAAUAACAUAAACACCACUCCUUAGUAUUCAAACUGGAUUAAGUCGUAUUGUUUUACAUUUGUUUUUCAUAUGCUUACUAGAGAGUGACAGCAUCGGGCGACAGGGUUUCAGCCCGUGUUGACAUAAAACAUAGUUCUGCAUCACUCAGGGAAUUUUUCAAACGCAUUCAGGGAAACCCUUGAAAACUCAGGGAAUUUGGAAAUGUCAACUUGGUAGACACCCUGAAUGGGAAAGUGCCUAUCGUGCAAGGAGCAAGUCAUUUACUCAUUGCUUAAAAUAUCUGUAUCUUCUUUUUUUUUUCCUAGAAUCUCUAGGCUCCCGAAGCAAUGGUUAUCAGGUUGGUAAGCAUAUAUGCACUUCCUCACACUUGGUUAUUGUGUUCGCUCAGAUUUUUUUGGGAGCAACUGGUCUAGUCUGGCACCUAGAACUGGUGCUUAAGCUAUCAUGUGCUUUGUACCAGUCCGUAUACAGUAAUGUACAGUGUUGCACAAUAUUGUGCACUAAUGACUAAGGGCAUUUACACAGGUUCUGUUUCAGAAGAUUCAGAAGUCGGAGAUUAGACUGCUACUAAAGCUUCUGGCGUAACUCAGUCUGAAGUCGACUGAGUGCUCUUGCACGAGUGAAAAAUUUGGAGGACGCUUAAGCCUCACCUUUAAGAGUGGAACGUGAUACCAUUCAAUGAUCCCCCAAGUGCUUCUCAUGCUUCCUCGCAACUACAGCUUAUGUAACCGUAAUGUUUACCGGGAAAUGCUGGUGGCGAAUGGCUAUGCACAAAGGCAAGCUUUGUGGUUUGUUGUUGAUGUUGUUGUUUGUGCAAGGCACCGAGAAGACCUAGCCGCUCCUACUUAGACAGACCUCAAACGGCAGCUGUAAAACGCUGUCACUAUAUCAUAAGUACUCACCAAUUAAACUUGACCUGCUAUGUAAGCAUUGGCAGGAGCAUCUGUACACUUAUUGUUUGAAGAAGGAGCCUUUGUGAUCAAGGCUGGGCAGAUAGAAAUGUUUGCGACAGCACUGCUCUUGCAUUAAAAAAACUAUUAAUCUUAGGAAGUAGACUUUGCAUGAGUCUAAAUAAUUGUUUGUGAUAGCUAUUGAUAUCACAAUAAAUUGUGAAGCAUAAUACCACACCUCAAGCUAAAUACGUUUGUUGAUGCAAAGUAAACGAAUCCGUGUGUAUGUUUUAGUGCUCACAUAUGCUUUAACAGCGAUUUCAAUGCUGUUACAGAUGUGUCCAUUCCUCCUGCAAAACUACCAAGAAGUUGUGUGGAUCAGGCUUUGCUAGAAAACCGGCUCACCUGAUACUUCGCAGAAAGCUUCCACUUGCUUUCUCUGUCACAUGACAGAGCAGUUGUAUAUAUGAUUGAUUCGCCAUUGUCAUAGUUAUAUAACUGUUUAUCAAUUGUUACCUAUGCAAUUGUCAUCUAGUACUAUGUGUACGGCAAAGUACUAGCGAUGCAGUACUGCAACACUCGAAUGUACUAGCAGAGAGUGUAUUUCAGUCAGGGCAAUGUGUAGUGUGGAACUGUGUCUGUCUUCAAAGAGAUUUUGCUUAGUUUGUGAUUGUUUGCAGUAAUGUUUCGCGCUGUCGAAGUCCAUGGAUGAAUACCGGUCACUCGUGUCUGUGCGAGGCCAACAGCAUUACUGCCAGCAGUGCACUUAUGUGACCAAGUACAAGAGCAGCAUGAAUGCACACCUGCGCACACACACAGGCGAGCGCCCCUUCAUGUGCCACCUGUGUACAAAGAAAUUCAUUCUCAGUAACCACCUGAAGGACCAUCUGCGUACACACACAGGCGAGCGCCCCUACAAGUGCCACCUGUGCACAAAGAAAUUUACUUGCAAUAGCAACCUGAAGAAGCAUCUGCACAAGCACACAGGCGAGCGCCCCUUCAAGUGCCACUUGUGCCCUAAUGAAUUCACUCAGAACUGCAGCCUCAAGCGGCAUCUUCUCAGCCACACAAGAAAGUGCCCCCUUUAAUGCAUGCACUGCACUGCAUCUUUUUCGUGGAAGGAAAUCCUCGACAACCACAUGUCCUCUGACACAGAGAAGAGGCUGUAAAGAUUUUGAGCCUAAAUAAAUUUCUGAAACACUGCAA